AUUGAACGCUGGCGGCAUGCUUUACACAUGCAAGUCGAACGGUAACAGGCCGCAAGGUGCUGACGAGUGGCGAACGGGUGAGUAAUGCAUCGGAACGUGCCCAGUCGUGGGGGAUAACGCAGCGAAAGCUGUGCUAAUACCGCAUACGAUCUAUGGAUGAAAGCGGGGGACCGUAAGGCCUCGCGCGAUUGGAGCGGCCGAUGUCAGAUUAGGUAGUUGGUGGGGUAAAGGCCUACCAAGCCGACGAUCUGUAGCUGGUCUGAGAGGACGACCAGCCACACUGGGACUGAGACACGGCCCAGACUCCUACGGGAGGCAGCAGUGGGGAAUUUUGGACAAUGGGCGCAAGCCUGAUCCAGCAAUGCCGCGUGCAGGAAGAAGGCCUUCGGGUUGUAAACUGCUUUUGUACGGAACGAAACGGUCUGGGUUAAUACCCUGGGCUAAUGACGGUACCGUAAGAAUAAGCACCGGCUAACUACGUGCCAGCAGCCGCCGCGG
rnacentral:rRNA from 1 species